AACCAUUCUCACCUGCGGCUAGACCUGCGGAAGGAUCAUUACCGAGUUUACAACUCCCAAACCCCUGUGAACAUACCAAUUGUUGCCUCGGCGGAUCAGCCCGCUCCCGGUAAAACGGGACGGCCCGCCAGAGGACCCCUAAACUCUGUUUCUAUAUGUAACUUCUGAGUAAAACCAUAAAUAAAUCAAAACUUUUAACAAUGGAUCU
rnacentral:misc_RNA from 1 species